rnacentral:rRNA from 1 species
UAGUGGCGAACGGGUGAGUAACACGUGAGUAACCUGCCCUUAACUCUGGGAUAAGCCUGGGAAACUGGGUCUAAUACCGGAUAUGACUCCUCAUCGCAUGGUGGGGGGUGGAAAGCUUUAUUGUGGUUUUGGAUGGACUCGCGGCCUAUCAGCUUGUUGGUGAGGUAAUGGCUCACCAAGGCGACGACGGGUAGCCGGCCUGAGAGGGUGACCGGCCACACUGGGACUGAGACACGGCCCAGACUCCUACGGGAGGCAGCAGUGGGGAAUAUUGCACAAUGGGCGAAAGCCUGAUGCAGCGACGCCGCGUGAGGGAUGACGGCCUUCGGGUUGUAAACCUCUUUCAGUAGGGAAGAAGCGAAAGUGACGGUACCUGCAGAAGAAGCGCCGGCUAACUACGUGCCAGCAGCCGCGGUAAUACGUAGGGCGCAAGCGUUAUCCGGAAUUAUUGGGCGUAAAGAGCUCGUAGGCGGUUUGUCGCGUCUGCCGUGAAAGUCCGGGGCUCAACUCCGGAUCUGCGGUGGGUACGGGCAGACUAGAGUGAUGUAGGGGAGACUGGAAUUCCUGGUGUAGCGGUGAAAUGCGCAGAUAUCAGGAGGAACACCGAUGGCGAAGGCAGGUCUCUGGGCAUUAACUGACGCUGAGGAGCGAAAGCAUGGGGAGCGAACAGGAUUAGAUACCCUGGUAGUCCAUGCCGUAAACGUUGGGCACUAGGUGUGGGGGACAUUCCACGUUUUCCGCGCCGUAGCUAACGCAUUAAGUGCCCCGCCUGGGNAGUACNGCCGCAAGGCUAAAACUCAAAGGAAUUGACGGGGGNCCCGCACAAGCGGCGGAANCAUGCGGAUUAAUUUCGAUGCAACGCNGAANAAACCUUUACCCAAGGCUUGACAUGAACCCGGAAAAUGCCUUGGAAAACAGGUGCCCCCNCUUNGCGGUNCGGUUUNACAAGGUGGGNGCAUGGNUUUUNCNUCAANCUUCNUNUUCCNNG